UUAAGAAAUACACGAAUCGGAAGGAGAUGAAGUUAAUUAAUUUGUUAUUUUAUUCUAUUGAGAAGGGAACACUUAUUUGUUUUCCUACCUAUUGUGCGUUUUAGCGGUAGCCUUAGGGGCUAUUACAGUUUUUAGCAAACAGUAAAAUAAACCAAUUUUUACGUCAGUUGACAAGAAACAGACCAAUGAUGGCGGUGUGGACGACGUAAGCGACCAGUGGCUAUGGCUCCCGAGUGAGAGACCUCCUCACAAUACGCUCCAUAUCAAGGAUAGGUGCUUUUUGUACCAGGCCCCUAGCCCAGCUGGACAACGAAAGUUUCUCAAGGGCCUGGUCGAAACUUUUCGCUAUCAAACCGUAUACCGGCCCAACUAUUGGAACUAUAAUGUUUAAAUUAACACGCGCCACAUUACGGUAGUUCCGUGGACUUUUUUCAUUCAUUAAUUUUUGUUGAGAGAAUUGUUAUAAGAGGAAGAAUAUUAGAGGAGAGAUCAAAUUAAUGUACAAAGAAAGACGCGGAGCAUAGUGGAACACACACCUUCGCCUAGCAUGUUCCAAACCAAACGACAUCAAGAUUCAACUCUAACAAGGAAAAGUUAUAGGAAAAAAGAGAAAUGGCACUCCAGACCACACGUUGGAGCACAGCUGGGCUGUUUGGCAACGGUUUAGUUGGAGGAUAUUCGCUAUCCAGGCGGACAAGGCCUGGGUACGGCAGCCCGUCAGGCCACCCAGACGCGCCGCUGGUGUCCAGGAAUACCCCACUGGACCAGAACCAGCCUGCCGGGUCGGGACGCGAUACACUGCCAACCGGUCUUUCUAUUAUUGAUACUCCUUGGCAGCACGCUAGUGAUGGUAGCGCGCCGCGUGGCCGCUACCCCCUCAGGUCGCCCCUUGACCUUUACCGGGGGGAGCCACUUCCUACAAGGCUUAGCCACAAAUUUUUUUCGGUUCCCGUUUUGCAUCAUUCUGAUCACUUGUAGAAUAUUGCAGUUCGAAACCUACAGAAUCGGAAAUCAUCAACCCCAAAUUAUUGUUAUAAUUUAUUCAUAAUAGGUGUAUUGAUGUCGCCGCUGCGACAAAAUACAUAUUAUGUUAAGUGCUUCGACCGUGUGGACCAUGAAGUCGACACCAUAUCUCACAAUACCUAGGUCAGAAAAUCCAGGGGCUACAAAAUCUACAGUCAUUAAUCGCUCAUAUCUUAUACCUUUAAACGAGCAAUUCUUGAUAUAUAUAUAUAUAUAUAUAUUUACAUCCUACAAUCUUUUUGGCGUCUGCACGUCGUGCAUCAUUACGACGUCCUCCAGUUCCCAUUGCUUUUUUUAACAUGUCUUAAUGAAUAUUGCUUAGUUUUUCGAUUUCCAGCUCCGUG